rnacentral:rRNA from 1 species
GACGACCGGCGCACGGGUGAGUAACGCGUAUGCAACCUACCUUUUACAGGAGGAUAGCCCAGAGAAAUUUGGAUUAAUACUCCAUAGUACUAAUGAAUCACCUGGUUUAUUAGUUAAAACUCCGGUGGUAAAAGAUGGGCAUGCGUGUCAUUAGCUAGUUGGUAAGGUAACGGCUUACCAAGGCGAAGAUGACUAGGGGUUCUGAGAGGAAGAUCCCCCACACUGGUACUGAGACACGGACCAGACUCCUACGGGAGGCAGCAGUGAGGAAUAUUGGUCAAUGGGUGAGAGCCUGAACCAGCCAUGCCGCGUGAAGGAAGACUGCCCUAUGGGUUGUAAACUUCUUUUCUGCAGGAAGAAAUCACUCUACGUGUAGGGUGUUGCCGGUACUGCAGGAAUAAGCAUCGGCUAACUCCGUGCCAGCAGCCGCGGUAAUACGGAGGAUGCAAGCGUUAUCCGGAUUUAUUGGGUUUAAAGGGUGCGUAGGCGGGCUUGUAAGUCAGUGGUGAAAUGCUGUGGCUUAACCAUAGAAUUGCCAUUGAAACUGCAAGUCUUGAGUACAGUUGAGGUUGCCGGGAAUGAGUAAUGUAGCCGGUGAAAGGCAUAGAUAUUACUCAGAACUCCGAUUUGCGUAGGCAGCUUGCUAAACUGUAACUGACGCUGAUGCACGAAAGCGUGGGGAGCGAACAGGAUUAGAUACCCUGGUAGUCCACGCUGUAAACGAUGAGCACUGGUUGUUGGCAAUACACCGUCAGCGACUGAGCGAAAGUAUUAAGUGCUCCACCUGGGGAGUACGUCGGCAACGAUGAAACUCAAAGGAAUUGACGGGGGCCCGCACAAGCGGAGGAACAUGUGGUUUAAUUCGAUGAUACGCGAGGAACCUUACCUGGGCUUAAAUGUAGAGUGCAUUGCUUGGAAACAGGCAUUUUCUUCGGAACUCUUUACAAGGUGCUGCAUGGUUGUCGUCAGCUCGUGCCGUGAGGUGUCGGGUUAAGUCCCAUAACGAGCGCAACCCCUAUUGUUAGUUACCAGCACGUAAUGGUGGGGACUCUAGCAAGACUGCCGGUGUAAACCGUGAGGAAGGUGGGGAUGACGUCAAAUCAGCACGGCCCUUAUGUCCAGGGCUACACACGUGUUACAAUGGCAAGUACAAAGAGCAGCCACCUGGCGACAGGGCGCUAAUCUCAAAAGCUUGCCUCAGUUCGGAUCGAAGUCUGCAACUCGACUUCGUGAAGGUGGAUUCGCUAGUAAUCGCGCAUCAGCCAUGGCGCGGUGAAUACGUUCCCGGGCCUUGUACACACCGCCCGUCAAGCCAUGGAAGCCGGGGGUACCUGAAGUCCGUAACCGCAAGG